AUGCCUGGAGUCCUUGAUGUCCUGGAGAUAAAGUUCUUGAGAAGAAUAUUCUCAAAUUUCUUGCUUCUGGAACGCAGUUAAGCAGCACCAACCCUGCCCUCCAGAUGGAACAUCUACAGGAGGCACAGCGACAGCCUCUGCACCGUAAGUCGGAAGAGGACCUGGGAGAAGCUGCUGCUGGUAGCUCCAGCUACUGCUGCCCUUGAGAACCCCGCUGACACCAGCAUCAUCUCUUCCAGGAACACUGGCCAGUGAGCUGUGCUGCCCCUGAAGCCACUCCGGUAGCUGGCUGCUUCCCUCAUGGGAAUCAAGUAGCCUUUGGGAGUCAUGGCUUCUGGUGGUGACUGAGCUCAGGGCUGACUACCAGCCCCUAGCAAAGGCAUCUUAUGCCAUCCUUCCCACCAUCACUCUGUGUAAAACAGAUUCUGUUCUGUGCCACGUGGACACUGCUAUUCCAGGCAACAAGAAAGUUCACGCAGCGGGUUUGAUGUAGUGGAUGCCAGCUCAGGAAGUUCUGCGCAUGCGCGGCACCGUUUCCCAGCACCACGCUUGAUUGUGACUUCCACAGAGAUCCUGGUGAGACAAAGGAGGAAGAAUAAUUGUGGUUGGAAAAGCUGUGACCAAGGAGGAUUGCAGGGUGAAUAGACAGGGCCAGCUCCUGAGCUCACUGCUGUCCAGCCAGAGUCGCUGACUCCUCUGCGGGCCUGUGAGGUGCUCUCUCUGCCUACCCUACAGUUCCCUACUGUAGUCUGCAGUGCACAGCCAGCCACUGAGGACUGGUCUGCGGUGCCCACA
rnacentral:lncRNA from 1 species